ACAAUGGGUAGUUCAGUUAAUAGAGCAUCAUACUUUUAUUCUGAAGGGCCCAGGGUUCAAGUUCCUGCUCAGGUG